rnacentral:rRNA from 1 species
GACAGAGGGGGCAAGCGUUGCUCGGAAUCACUGGGCGUAAAGGGUGCGUAGGCGGGUCUUUAAGUCAGGGGUGAAAUCCUGGAGCUCAACUCCAGAACUGCCUUUGAUACUGAAGAUCUUGAGUCCGGGAGAGGUGAGUGGAACUGCGAGUGUAGAGGUGAAAUUCGUAGAUAUUCGCAAGAACACCAGUGGCGAAGGCGGGUCACUGGCCG